rnacentral:rRNA from 1 species
UACGUAGGGACCAAGCGUUGUUCGGAUUUACUGGGCGUAAAGGGCGCGUAGGCGGCAAUUCAAGUCAUCUGUGAAAUCUCCGGGCUUAACUCGGAACGGUCAAAUGAUACUGCUUUGCUAGAGUGCGGAAGGGGCAAUCGGAAUUCUUGGUGUAGCGGUGAAAUGCGUAGAUAUCAAGAGGAACACCUGAGGUGAAGACGGGUUGCUGGGCCGACACUGACGCUGAUGCGCGAAAGCCAGGGGAGCAAACGGG